UUGAACUCAUUUAAAAGUUAUUCUCUUUGAGAAGUCCUUAGGGCUCAUUGGUAGUGACCUUAAGUGUGUCGGAUUUUCUGAUGCACGUGGUUGGCGGGUGAUUGCGUACAUCUGUAGGGAAUGGUCUCACCUUAAAGGGAUAAAAAAAAUCCCAAAACCUGUCAUGAGUUUGGGCAAAUGGCUUUGGUCUUGGGUUUGUUCCCCACAGACAUGAGUUCGUUUUCCCUCUCCGUGGGUUACCAGUCACGAGUUUGGGAGAAUGACUUUGGUCGUGGGUUUGCUCCCCACAGACACAAGUUCGAUUCCCUUUCCCGUGGAUUACCCGUCAUGAGUUUGGGCGAACGGCUUUGGUCGUGGGUUUGCUCCCCACAGACAGGAGUUCAUUUCCCCUCGUGGAUUACAUGAUGCACGUGGUGUAAUAGGGGAUU